rnacentral:tRNA from 1 species
GCUCAGGUGGUGGAAUUGGCAGACACGCUGUCUUCAGGCGGCAGUGCCGUAAGGUGUGAGGGUUCGAAUCCCUCCCUGAGCACCA